rnacentral:snRNA from 1 species
AACCUUACCUGGCAGGGGAGAUACCACAAUCAAUGGGUUUUCCCAGGAUGAGGCCUGUCCAUUGCACUUCGGGCAGGCAGGCUGACCCCUGUGAAUUUCUCUAAUACUUGACUAAAGAAUUUUGUGGUAGUGGGGGUGUUUGUACCCUGG